rnacentral:rRNA from 1 species
GACGAACGCUGGCGGCGUGCUUAACACAUGCAAGUCGAACGGAAAGGCCCUGCUUUUGUGGGGUGCUCGAGUGGCGAACGGGUGAGUAACACGUGAGUAACCUGCCCUUGACUUUGGGAUAACUUCAGGAAACUGGGGCUAUUCCCGGCUAGGAGCUCCUGCUGCAGGGUGGGGGUGGGAAAGUUUCGGCGGUGGGGGAUGGACUCGCGGCUUAUCAGCUUGUAGGUGGGGUAGUGGCUUACCAAGGCUUUGACGGGUAGCCGGCCUGAGAGGGUGACCGGCCACAUUGGGACUGAGAUACGGCCCAGACUCCUACGGGAGGCAGCAGUGGGGAAUAUUGCACAAUGGGCGGAAGCCUGAUGCAGCAACGCCGCGUGCGGGAUGACGGCCUUCGGGUUGUAAACCGCUUUCGCCUGUGACGAAGCGUGAGUGACGGUAAUGGGUAAAGAAGCACCGGCUAACUACGUG